GCUGUUGCUGGCCCCAUUGGGUAUGUGCACGCUUGUCAUCUUUAUCAUUUCUCCAACCUGUGCACAUAAUGUAGACCUGAGUUUUUUGAAUUCUAUUCGAGUUGGGGAUUGCUGCGCUUUUGUAUAAAAGUCGGCUUUCCCUUGUAUUUUUCAGGUCUAUGUCGUUUAUCUUUCACAACCAUGUUUAGAAUGUUGAAUCAGGUCCUUGUACCUAUAUAAUAAAAGUUAAUACAACUUUCAGCAACGGAUCUCUUGGCUCUCGCAUCGAUGAAGAACGCAGCGAAAUGCGAUAAGUAAUGUGAAUUGCAGAAUUCAGUGAAUCAUCGAAUCUUUGAACGCAUCUUGCGSUCCUUGGUAUUCCGAGGAGCAUGCCUGUUUGAGUGUCAUUUGACUUAUCAACCACAUCAUCUUUUUUUGAAAAUGUGGCUUGGAUGGGGGGGGAAUGUAUUUUCUUUUGCAGGUUUCAACAAAGGCCGGCUCCCCUGAAAGGCUUUAGGGGUAUCUGAGCUGCUAUUGGUGUGAUAAAUUAUCUAUGCCUUUGGUUAUGCUGGUCAGCGCUGCUUAUAACGACCCAAUCAUUUGACAAAUUUGACCUCAAAUCAGGUAGAACUACCCGCUGA
rnacentral:rRNA from 1 species